AGAGAUUUCCCAGCGAGCGUUGUUGUAAUUUUCAGAUAAAUACAGCAGAAACUGAGCAUUUCUAAACGCAAAAGCUCAGCGAACGACGUCAGUUCCAUCACAGAUCCGAGGAUGAAGUUGCUGGCCGUUGUUGUGGUGGUCGCUCUCAGGUUACAGUCGAUCGUGGUUCAGGCAGACGAGGAAGUUAAACAGAAGUUCCAGGACGACAUCAUGCCGAUCUCCAAGGAGUGCAUCGCUCUGCAUGAACUGAAGGAAGAGGACAUCAAAGCCUUGAAAGGCUUCGAAAUUCCACCCAAUCAGGAAGCAAAGUGUUUCGCUGGUUGCGUGUACGCAAAACUCGGUAUGAUAAAUGGAAAUGAGUUCGAACCCACGCAAUUCAAGGCAAGAGUACGGGAGUGGUUACAGAAGUACCCGGAGAAAUACCAGAAGGUCGAGGCAAUGCUGGACACGUGCAAAACCAAGGUUAAGGAAGCCAACCCCAACGGAGGUGACGAGUGUCAUCUGUUGCCGAGUAUCAUGGAGUGUUUCCAUUCCCAUCAAGAGGAGACGGACAGCUUCAGGAAAUUCCUAGCGUCCGUGUAUGGAUCCUGAGCGUGAAACAAGCGGACGGACACGAUUGAUGAGUGACACAACCACCAAGACAUGGAUAAUGCACCAUUUAAUCGUAAUGAAUCGUAAUCCCGAUAUGUGGGAACAAAUUUCUUAUGUACAGGUAAAUUCUUCGGAAUAAAUAAAAAUCAAAGAAACUUUAUCCUUACGAAAACAA